GUGCUGUCAGGGAACGAGAUCCAACGGUGAGCUAAGCAUGUAGGGCCGGAGACGUAGGGCUUUCGGACGGGGGUUCAACUCCCCCCACCUCCACCA
rnacentral:tmRNA from 3 species